GUUCUGAAGAUAAGAGCCAUUUCUACAGGAAUCAUCUGGUGCUGGAAAACCCUGUUGCAUCCUGUGAGGUGAAGCUGCUCUCUCUCGGUGGCCGCUCAUCUGUGGCUAUCGCCCAUGUGGGUGUGGGACUGGAGAUGCUCAAGGGCAGACAAGGUGGGCCGAGUAUAGACCCAGGCAUUGACCUUCAGUGUGUGCUGACCAUGAUGGAGGAGAUGGGCACCACCCUUUCACCAGGAGCGCAGAACCUCAUGGAACUGGUGCAGUGCCAGCAAAAG